UACGGAGGGUGCAAGCGUUAAUCGGAAUUACUGGGCGUAAAGCGCACGCAGGUGGCUGAGCGAGUCGAUUGUGAAAGCCCUGGGCUUAACCUGGGAAUUGCAGUCGAUACUACUCAGCUAGAGUAUGGGAGAGGGUAGUGGAAUUCCUGGUGUAGCGGUGAAAUGCGCAGAUAUCAGGAGGAACACCGGUGGCGAAGGCGGUUCUCUGGGCCUUACCUGACGCUGAGGAGCGAAAGCGUGGGGAGCGAACAGG
rnacentral:rRNA from 1 species